GAUCUAGAAUGUACUCUGUGGACACGCGGUGUCCACAGCGGCAUCUCGUCUUCCUCCACACGGCAGCCCUCUUUCCAUCGGGAGCUGCUCCGGAAGUCUCCUGGGCACCCGGAAUUGGGGGGAGAGGUUGGGAACAGGCCGAGGGUGGGGCCGCCUGCCCCAGAGCAGGUAGAGGGGCCGACCCUGCCCGGCGCACACACUCCGCGCCCCUGUGCUGAAGCCAGCACGUGGCUGGUUACCCUCCCGACCGUCUGACUUAGAAGACAGAACUGGGGACACCUCUAGGUAGUUUGAAGACGUGCGUCUGUGAAGAAUUGCAUCGCCUCUUUCUAAGAAGGGUGGGGGCAAGGAGAAAAGAAACAGGCGAAGUUUCCAGGCUGGACUUGCGCUGGAAGAGAGGAUGCGCUGAACCAGAGAAGGGUAGCAGAGGCACCAACUCAGGAAAAGGCGUUGGUUUGCCACAGGAUUAGACCAG
rnacentral:lncRNA from 1 species